AACGAACGCUGGCGGCAGGCUUAACACAUGCAAGUCGAGCGGGGCCCUUCGGGGUUCAGCGGCGGACGGGUUAGUAACGCGUGGGAACGUGCCUUUUGCUUGGGAAUAGCCCUGGGAAACUGGGGGUAAUACCGGAUGUGCCCUGAGGGGGAAAGGUCUUCGGACCGGCAAGGGAUCGGCCCGCGUCUGAUUAGGUAGUUGGUGGGGUAACGGCUCACCAAGCCGACGAUCGGUAGCUGGUUUGAGAGGAUGAUCAGCAACACUGGGACUGAGACACGGCCCAGACUCCUACGGGAGGCAGCAGUGGGGAAUCUUAGACAAUGGGGGCAACCCUGAUCUAGCCAUGCCGCGUGGAUGAUGAAGGCCUUAGGGUCGUAAAGUCCUUUCGCCGGGGAAGAUAAUGACGGUACCCGGUAAAGAAGCCCCGGCUAACUCCGUGCCAGCCGCCGCCGUAAUAC
rnacentral:rRNA from 1 species